rnacentral:lncRNA from 1 species
CAGUGUAAAUCUUCAGGAAUUCUUUAUAGCUUAUCUGACAGUCAGGAUGUCCUUUAUAAUUAUAUUAGAACAGUUUCCGACUCUCCGUUACUGACUGAUCUAUGAUGAGAUUGAGAUGAUGUGCUUGCCUAAACACCCUAUCUACUUACACCAAGAUUCCCUUGAAAGUUUUGUAUUUAUGCUUCAAUUUGCCUUCAUUCUCUUCAUUACUUCAAUCUCUUCAAGUAAGUCUCACCACACCCCUUUGCUACCUGCAGAGCUGGAGGAAGGGUCUGGAGACCGUGCACUGCCAUCUAAAAUGUGUGCAAAGAAGAACACGUGCUUGAACUACAUCAUGUGACAGAGGAGACCAGAUCGGUCAAAAUAGCUGAAACAGAUGCUUUGCAGCUAAGAAAAGUUGAGGAUAUUGUCCCUUGAACAUCUCUUGCAGAUCCUUCCUCCACAGGUAAGCGAAGGGGUGGGGCGAGACUAAUGGGUAUGUUAAAUGGUGGGC